CUGACGCAGCACGCCGCGUGAAGGAUGAAGGCUUUCGGGUUGUAAACUUCUUUGAUCGGGGACGAAGAUGACGGUACCCGAGGAACAAGCCACGGCUAACUACGUGCCAGCAGCCGCGGUAAUACGUAGGUGGCAAGCGUUGUCCGGAAUUACUGGGUGUAAAGGGCGUGUAGGCGGGGCGGCAAGUCAGAUGUGAAAUACCGUGGCUUAACUGCGGGGGUGCAUCUGAAACUGUCGUUCUUGAGUGUCGGAGAGGAAAGUGGAAUUCCCAGUGUAGCGGUGAAAUGCGUAGAGAUUGGGAGGAACACCAGUGGCGAAGGCGGCUUUCUGGACGAUAACUGACGCUGAGGCGCGAAAGCGUGGGUAGCAAACARGAU
rnacentral:rRNA from 1 species